CGCGCCCGUCUACCGCAACAGCCAGAAGAAUCGCAUAUUCGCUGCGACGUCUGCCUACCUCGUGAUGACCGGAGUUAUGCGAGCUUUGACACUGGCCGGGUCCAUGGUAGUCAAGAACCAGUUAAGUCCCGAGAACUGGGUCGGCUACUCGUGGACGAGGAAAAUGGUGAAGUACGCUGACUGUCUACUGGCUGACCGUAAGGACAACAAUACCAUCGA
rnacentral:lncRNA from 1 species